UACGGAGGGUGCGAGCGUUGUCCGGAAUCACUGGGCGUAAAGGGCGCGUAGGCGGCCUGAUAAGUAGGGGGUGAAAUCCUGCGGCUUAACCGCAGGGCUGCCUUCUAAACUGUCAGGCUAGAGCACAGUAGAGGCAGGUGGAAUUCCCGGUGUAGCGGUGGAAUGCGUAGAGAUCGGGAAGAACAUCAGUGGCGAAGGCGGCCUGCUGGGCUGUUGCUGACGCUGAAGCGCGAAAGCUAGGGGAGCGAACGGG
rnacentral:rRNA from 1 species